rnacentral:lncRNA from 1 species
GGUAGCUUGGUGGCUCGCCAGAGAAUGGACCCAAGUACUUGACUCGGUCAGAUCCGUACCAUGGGCUUCCUGAUGGUCCCUUUGGCUUGGCAACGGUCUUCCUCAUCGUCACACGGCCGCUUCCAAGGACUUCAGAUGCUGCGGGGGAAAGCUUGACGGCCUUUCCGGCGAAAGCAGGGGAGGAGAGAGCCAUUGUUGAGGCGGCCAUUGAGGUUGAGAGUUGCACAAAGUAAAAAACGUUUAAGAGUUGUUGUUGUAAGCCAAGAAAUGGGUGGUUUGGCACUGAUGGGAUUUUCAGUAUAUAUAAUAUGAAAAUCUAAAGUAACCUCUUAUCCUGUAAUAUCCAAUCUCUAGAGUUUUUAUUGGCUACUCACAAAUUUUUAUUUUGGAAUCCUAGAUUUUUUUGUUUGCUUACGUGGUUUAUAGCUAACACUUGGCAGAUUCGGAACUGAUUUGUGUCUUAAGAUAUCUUUGGUGCGUUUCAGGGAUUCGUGAAACACCCACUCAUGACGUGACACGUAUAAGACUUGAUCUCUCUAUCCUUUUGAAAUCUUGAGUCUAUCAAACAAAAAAUUAAGGAUAAUUGCAUAUUACAUUCUAUAUGUAUAUGAUCUGUUUCUAUUUUUUUAUAAAGUUAAAGAAAAUAAUAACAGUUUACUAUAGAUAGACAAUUAAAACAAAAGUAAAUAAAACAAUAAAAUAUAAGUAUUGGAAUUAAGUUAUCAAAUUUAUUUUAUAAAAGUAAUGGGGAUAGUUAUCUAAAAAUGCAGAAAUGUAAUCAAACUUAAACUCCUACAAACCAUAUAUUGAUCGUCAUAAUAUAUCACAAGAAGAGGAAAAAUGAAACAUUUCAUUAGUGGCUUUAUAUGAUAAUGUUUAAUGUACUAAUGUCAGGACAAAAGUGGCAUCAACCAGAUCAUCGUGAUGGUCAUGGUCACAAGACAACUCCAGAAUUACGAGUCAUGGUCAUAUACUCAUAGCCACAAGUCAGCUUCUACCUUACACUCUUCAAACGGCUAUGACAGACAACGGCCACAAUAAACAAGCCAACAAAUCCAUCUAAUACCGUAGAAUCGUAGAUAGACCCAACAACGGCUACAUUUACGGCCGCAAUAAGGUCAAUGGAUUAGAAAAGCUUUCAAAGGAUUCUAACAUUUUUCUCACUUGAAAAUUCAUUGAUCAUAGAAACUCAAACCUUAGAGAGUGCACUCUAUAGCGUGUGGGUAAGGUUGAGUGAUAGUAAGAAAAAAAAAGUGCUUUGAAGAAAAAUCUCUGUUGUUGGAAUAAAAGACUGUUUUAAAUGCCGUAGCAUAAUUCUUCAAUGUAUUUGAAUAAUGAUGAACAAUUAAUUAUCUCAGUAUUUCGUCGCGUUUCGAUAAAAAGUAACAAAGCAGAGAGAGUUUAAAGAGACAAUACAUUAUUCAUUAGAUGAUUUUAAAGAUGAAAUACGCUACUCAUGAGAUCUCUUGGGUUAUUGGAUUAAGUGCCGAUGCUUCUGAAUCUUGUGAACAUGUAUAUAUAAUGAUGUUGGACUUACUAUUGAAAGUAUUGGUAGUCAUGAUCAAAACAUAGUAUAUGCGGGUAAAUGCUACUUUAAUACAAUGUAUCGAUCAUCGACAUUUGAAAGUGUUAAUUUUACUUAAGUUGUAGCCAAAACAACACAAAUCAUUAAGCUCUUGUCAGGAGCUAAAUUCAUACAAAAUUUAAGUUCUUAUACAAAGCAAAGUAGGUUUACAAAAAAAAAUAAAAAAUACAAAGCAAAGUCACGAGGGUGUUACCGUUAAAGUAUACGACGGCUCAUAAUGUGGUCACAAAAUGCUUUGGCUGCAAUGUAAAAAUCAAAGCAAAAGCUCGUGGCUUAGAGAUUGCCACGUAAGACUAAGAAACGAUAAACAAAAAUCUCAAGAACCCAAUGAAUAAAGAGAUAAAGAUUACAAGAGAGAUAACAAACCAUACUCACAAUAUCCCUAUAUAAUCCAAACCUACCUAACCAUUGUCACUCACUCUCACUCACAAGUUAGUCACCAAAAAAAAAACCAAAAACAUUUCAAUGGCUGCCUCAACAAUGGCUCUCUCNNNNNNNNNNNNNNNNNNNNNNNNNNNNNNNNNNNNNNNNNNNNNNNNNNNNNNNNNNNNNNNNNNNNNNNNNNNNNNNNNNNNNNNNNNNNNNNNNNNNNNNNNNNNNNNNNNNNNNNNNNNNNNNNNNNNNNNNNNNNNNNNNNNNNNNNNNNNNNNNNNNNNNNNNNNNNNNNNNNNNNNNNNNNNNNNNNNNNNNNNNNNNNNNNNNNNNNNNNNNNNNNNNNNNNNNNNNNNNNNNNNNNNNNNNNNNNNNNNNNNNNNNNNNNNNNNNNNNNNNNNNNNNNNNNNNNNNNNNNNNNNNNNNNNNNNNNNNNNNNNNNNNNNNNNNNNNNNNNNNNNNNNNNNNNNNNNNNNNNNNNNNNNNNNNNNNNNNNNNNNNNNNNNNNNNNNNNNNNNNNNNNNNNNNNNNNNNNNNNNNNNNNNNNNNNNNNNNNNNNNNNNNNNNNNNNNNNNNNNNNNNNNNNNNNNNNNNNNNNNNNNNNNNNNNNNNNNNNNNNNNNNNNNNNNNNNNNNNNNNNNNNNNNNNNNNNNNNNNNNNNNNNNNNNNNNNNNNNNNNNNNNNNNNNNNNNNNNNNNNNNNNNNNNNNNNNNNNNNNNNNNNNNNNNNNNNNNNNNNNNNNNNNNNNNNNNNNNNNNNNNNNNNNNNNNNNNNNNNNNNNNNNNNNNNNNNNNNNNNNNNNNNNNNNNNNNNNNNNNNNNNNNNNNNNNNNNNNNNNNNNNNNNNNNNNNNNNNNNNNNNNNNNNNNNNNNNNNNNNNNNNNNNNNNNNNNNNNNNNNNNNNNNNNNNNNNNNNNNNNNNNNNNNNNNNNNNNNNNNNNNNNNNNNNNNNNNNNNNNNNNNNNNNNNNNNNNNNNNNNNNNNNNNNNNNNNNNNNNNNNNNNNNNNNNNNNNNNUUUGUUCCCGGAAAGUGAGCAAAGUUUUAUCAGUUUGUAAUUUGCAUUUUAUUUUAGUAUUUUGAAUUCGAGUGAGAGACAGGAGGAGAAAGAGAGGGUUUGUUUUUGUGAUGGAUGGUUGGAGACUUUCAUAUGUAAAUUUGCAAAGACUUUGUAUGGUUUGUCAUUAAUCAAAUAACUCAUUUUUUCUCACAUACUUGUCGUCUCGUAAAAACUCUAAAAUAUGCAUUGGACAUAAAACAAUUUUCUUUUUCGCGUAUAUGGCGAUAGACAAUAGUUAUGUGUUUAGAUUGUUGAAACAUAGCUGGUAUCAACCACUAGCAUGGUGUUAUUAGUUUGUAGAAAGACCGGAAAUUACAUGUUUUAUAUAUAUUUGGUGCUAAAGUAAAUUAUUUUUGAAAAACUUUGGUCGGCGAAAUUAUGUGUUUGUUCUUUUCUCUUUUGGAAUUAGCGAAGGAUGGCCGUUUGCGAGUAGACGAAGUUUCAGAACGGAGAAAACAGUCAUGGCCGUCUCAAAAUCAAAAAUUUUGUUUAUUGUUUUUCUAGUAUAAAGUUUCUUGGUAAACGUACGGUUUUUAAUCUCUAGAAGUAGAAGGUUCGUGUGAUGCCUCUCAUCACAUGUUGUCUAUGUGCAUGUGUUUGUUCCUUCUGUGUUUGGUUGAUUUUGAAGCUCGUACGACUACGAUCGAGUAAUUGGACAGAUUGCGUUCUGCAUGUGACUGUGAGUUCCUCUGUACGUGGACCGGGUUCAUUUGUCACGCUAUAAUUGGCGAAUACAUAAUAACUGAAACUAUGUUUGGAUAUUUCGGAGUACUAAAACAUGCAUGUGUCCUGGUUUCUUAACCGAAGAAAAUAAAUUAAGUCUAGAUCAAAGGAGUGUAGUGCCUUUCAAAUGAUUUCAUUGAAAUCUUCCUUGAUAUGGGACAUAGAUGUUUUGAGUGAGUAAUCAGAGUAUCUUCUUAUAAUUAAAAGAGAAGUACAAAUUGAAAAUUUGUCAAAUUUAACCUUUAAAUCAUUGAAAUUGAUUUCAAUUUGGCAUAAAGGAGACACAUUAUUGAAAUCGAUUAGGGGUAAUUUUGGCAAAAGAAAAAGAAACAAAAAAAAUCAGUCUAGGAUCCGCGUGCUUUAGACGCCCGCCCAAGAAAAUCAUUGGAUCUUCUCCUUCGUUUAUUGACCCGGAGUCCUGAACACAGAGUUUUGUUAUGUCAAAUAUAUUAAUGGACAUUAAAAACCCAUGAAAAUAUUUAUUAAGGUUAUAAGGCCCACUAAAAUCAAUAGUAAGUUCAUUUCAGUACAGAAAAGUUUCAACCCAUCAUACGCUUUUGUGUUUUGUUAGUUUUAUGAAAUACUAAUAUUCAUACAUUUAUGACCAUCUUAAAUAUCAAUUUCGUAAAUCAAUAAUUUUUUAUCAAUCACAUCAAUUUCGCCCAAAUCAAUGUACUGAUUAUUUGCAUACCACUAAUCUGUACUUAUGAUCAUAUUCCAAAAAUGAGCAGCCUUAAUAUUCUUAUUAUCUAUAAAUAUCACUCUACCUACAAUCGAUCCCUUCAAUCAUCGAGCUAUUACCUCAUUUUUUCAUAUUCUUUUUAGUUCAUUACAGACGUGAUACCCUACAAGACAAGUGCAGUCCUGCAAAACCUGAAAAGCAUACACAACAAGUUUUGGUGAGAUGAGUUUAUAGAAAUAAUAGAAUGAUUUUUUUAUUCUAAAUACUCACAAGUCUUUUUACAGGUACAAUCACAGUGUGUCCGACGGGUUAAAUAUCACUUUGUAAACUUUUUUAAACUCAUCAAUACUAAAAGAAUCAGGAUUACUAUCUCCAUUUCCCCCAAGAAGACAAUUUAAUCAGUUUUUGAGAUGAUUGAGGUAAAGCUAUUCUUAAACCCAUGAUAAUAUUAUCAAAAGUUAUUAGAAAGAUUAAUGUAUUUUCUGUUCAUUGAACUAUUUCAAGAUAUUUAACUAACACAAGAAUAUGUAUUAAUCUGAAUUCUAUUUUGACGAAUGAUAGGGUACUUCCGUUAUAAAAUCUAAAAAUCUUAUGUCAAAAUUCUUCUUUUUUUUUAAUUCUUUUUUUUUUUUUUUUUNNNNNNNNNNUUUUUUUUUUUUUUUUUUUUGUAAACAGAAACACAGUAUCAAAUCUCAAAAACAGAAGAUCCGCUUUUGCUAAUGCAUCAGCCUUUGCGUUCUCAGUACGAGGUACAAAAUGGAAGGAAAUAGAAAUAAAUAAGGUUCUGAGGAGUUUGAUGUUCUUAAUUAUGUUAGAAAAUUAUCGAUUGUAAAGUUUGUUUCGUUAAACUUCAUAAAGGUUAAGAACUAACCAUUACAUCUCUAGCUCCUUGCAUCAUAAAAAAAUAAAUUUAGUAUACAAUAACAAAAUCUAUAUUGUAUUCGUUCUCUUAUCAAUUGAAUCUGAUUAAAAAAGAAUUAAUUAUUUUAAGUAACUCUAUAAGAAACAAGAAGGAUUUCUAUGAAUUAAGAACUAGAUUUUACCAAAAUUAAUAGAUGCGUUCAAAAAAAGUUAAAAUUUUGGAAAGAUGAAUUACCUCGAUGUCAAGACAUCUGUAUGUUAGCAUUUAAAACAGAAGUUGAUUUGGUUUAAAUAUUCUUACCAAUCUCUUUGACAAGACUCUCGGUUUGUCAUAUGAUUAGGUACAUUUUUUUUACUAUUACACCUAUUAACUUAGAUUAAUCAAAUUUAACAUAAUAUAAAUUAAAUUGCACGUAAAAAAAAUAUCACCACAACAACAAAAAUCAUUAAACUCAUAUAUUUAAAAUAUAUAGUUUUAAAAAUGACUUUAAAAAGUAAAAAUGUAAAUUAAACACUUAAGAUAGAAUUUAAUUUACAAACUAGAAAAUGAUAACAUUAAAAUAAAACUAGAAAAAUCAAUUUAUAGUAAAAAUCUAUGCAUGUCCUAUGAACUCAAGCGGGGCGGAGGAGGACAUAUUUUAUAGACCCACAAAUUCUAUAGGGUGAGCUUUUAAUCCAGCAUUAAAAAUAUUAAAUGAUCAUAUAUUAUGAAUUAUGUAAUCAUAGUUCAUGUUCUUACUCUUAAACUAAUAAUUUUAUCUGAUAAAUUCAAAUAGAAUAUUUUUUUGUGUAUACAUCAAACAAACAAAAAUACACUAACUUCCACAUAUCUCUAUACUACUGUAUCAAACAAAAAAAAAAUCUAAAAUAAUAUAUUAAUCAAUAAAUUUUAACCGAAAAUAGUACAUUUUAAGUUGUAAACUACAUAAUAAUAAUAAUAAUAAAAAUAUUUGCUAUGCUGUUGUUAGUGGUGUAGCGCAGGUCCAACCCAUUACAAUACGACACACACUUAUAAGAGUGAUGUAAAUUGUGAAAUAGAUAAAUAUAAUUCAUAAUAACAAUGAAUAAAACUAAUCAGUUUUGAAUUUACACACAAAACACCUUACGAAACGUACAUACAUAACAUCGACUACUUAAAACAAUUUGAUAAAACAAAUAUUUCCCAAAAACAUAUAUAUAAGAUAUAUAUAUCCAAUACGAGAUACAUAUCCAAUCAAAACAAAACAUAUAAGAAAAAAUAGGAUUUCCCAAAAGGAUUUAUAAAAACAAAGACCCGCGGUGUACCGCGGGUUCAAUUCUAGUAUAUAGAAGAAUGCAUGAUGUCGUUGGUGUUUAGUACCGAACGAUUAAAGCGAAUAGAACUGAACAUGCAUAGUGUUAUUUAUUUUCAACGUAUACUACUAUAGAACAUGCGUUCUAAUGCAUAUAUAUACAUAGUCAUAGCCUCAUAGGUGAAUUCAUGUGUGAGGUCAAAUGAAUGAAUAAAACUAUAAUUGUGCUUUGUAACAAAAAAAAAAAAGGAGUGUUAAAAUUAGAAAUUGUUUAGGAUGAUUGAAAUCAUUAAGCGUGAAUUGAUGAUAGCUUAAAGCGUUUUCUAUCAAAGUGAUUGAGAACUUGGGUUGCUGCAAAUUAAACCUCAAAUAAAUUAUUGUCUUGUUUUUUUUUCAUCUCUACAAUGUUGUUCAAUUUUACAACAGAAUACUACAAUCACGGUUAAAAUUUGAUAAAUAUGGUAGUUUUUUCAAUGUGUUAUGUAUCGUCUUCCUAAAUAUUCAAAUAGUUUUUGCAAUUUUUUUAAAAUAACUAAAAGUUUUAGAAAUUAUUUACAUUAAUGUUCAUGAGAAUCAGGUUAGUGGAUAAAGUAACAAUGGAAACGAUGUUAAGAUGAAUUGCACUUCUGUAAAUUGAUAGUGAUCGUGACUUCAUAUCACACUUAUUGAUAGUCAUGAUCAAAGCACCAUAGUUUCACCCCAAAAUAAUAAUCGAUCAAAAUGUAUGAUGUUUCGAUGAUCAAUAUUGAUAUCUUGGAAAUGUUCUUAAAUUUUUUAAAAGAGAAAAAAAUCUCUCAAAUAAGUUAACUAUUUUCACAAAAAUUAAGCCAUUUCCAAAGAUUUACAACCUGUGGUCUCAAAAUGCUUUGGCUGCAAUGAAAAAACCAAAGUGAAAGCUCGUGGACAAGAGACUGCCACCUAAGAAUAAGAAACGAUAAAACAAAAAUCUCAAAAACCCAAUGAGCGAAGAGAUAAAGAUUACUUGAGAGAUAACAAACGUUACUCACAAUGUCACUAUUUAAUCCAAACCUAUCUUAACGUUAUCACUCACUCUCACUCACAAGUUAGUCACACAAAAAAAAAAAAAANNNNNNNNNNNNNNNNNNNNNNNNNNNNNNNNNNNNNNNNNNNNNNNNNNNNNNNNNNNNNNNNNNNNNNNNNNNNNNNNNNNNNNNNNNNNNNNNNNNNNNNNNNNNNNNNNNNNNNNNNNNNNNNNNNNNNNNNNNNNNNNNNNNNNNNNNNNNNNNNNNNNNNNNNNNNNNNNNNNNNNNNNNNNNNNNNNNNNNNNNNNNNNNNNNNNNNNNNNNNNNNNNNNNNNNNNNNNNNNNNNNNNNNNNNNNNNNNNNNNNNNNNNNNNNNNNNNNNNNNNNNNNNNNNNNNNNNNNNNNNNNNNNNNNNNNNNNNNNNNNNNNNNNNNNNNNNNNNNNNNNNNNNNNNNNNNNNNNNNNNNNNNNNNNNNNNNNNNNNNNNNNNNNNNNNNNNNNNNNNNNNNNNNNNNNNNNNNNNNNNNNNNNNNNNNNNNNNNNNNNNNNNNNNNNNNNNNNNNNNNNNNNNNNNNNNNNNNNNNNNNNNNNNNNNNNNNNNNNNNNNNNNNNNNNNNNNNNNNNNNNNNNNNNNNNNNNNNNNNNNNNNNNNNNNNNNNNNNNNNNNNNNNNNNNNNNNNNNNNNNNNNNNNNNNNNNNNNNNNNNNNNNNNNNNNNNNNNNNNNNNNNNNNNNNNNNNNNNNNNNNNNNNNNNNNNNNNNNNNNNNNNNNNNNNNNNNNNNNNNNNNNNNNNNNNNNNNNNNNNNNNNNNNNNNNNNNNNNNNNNNNNNNNNNNNNNNNNNNNNNNNNNNNNNNNNNNNNNNNNNNNNNNNNNNNNNNNNNNNNNNNNNNNNNNNNNNNNNNNNNNNNNNNNNNNNNNNNNNNNNNNNNNNNNNNNNNNNNNNNNNNNNNNNNNNUUUGUUCCCGGAAAGUGAGCAAAGUUUUAUCAGUUUGUAAUUUGCAUUUUUUCAGUCUUUUGAAUUCGAGUGAGAGUGAGAGGGCAGAAGGAGAAAGAGCAGGGUUUGUGUUUGUGAUGGAUGGUUUGAGACUUUCAGAUGUAAAUUUGCAAAGACUUCGUAUGAUUGAUCAUUAACUCAAAUAACUCAUUUUUCUCUCAUAUUCUUCUCGUAAUAUUUCAAAAUCUGAACUGGACUUAUAUUCUUCGAUUCACUCUAUUGAAGAGGCUAUUUCUACAAUUGCACAAUUGAUUACAAAUACAUGACACGAGUUUAAGCCAAUGGGCAAAUGAUCUGAUAUCCUGAUACAAAGCAAGGAAGGACAUACUGAUAAAUUUAAAACUAUGCUGCAUCUCGAAAAUGGACCUUUGAGGAUUAUUGAUAGAAAUGCUUAUGGUAAACAAAAUCCGUUGAAAUUUAGUCGACAUCGUAAAAGUUCCACACAAGCGAUCAAACAUAUAAAUUAAAAACUAACUCAGACGGGCAAAGAAGAUACAUCCUUUACCUCAAAGAAGUCCUGUAGAGCGGUCAUUUUAAUGGCACUUGACUUCAAGCUCUUGAUUCCCUCGGCAGUCGCUAACGCUCCAGCCACUGUGGUUAUAACAGGGACCUUGUAGGCUAGAGCCAUUUGUCUGAGCUCUCUCCCAUCUUUCUGGUCAAGAGCAUCUCCCGAGCUUGUGAUCAACAUCAACUGGAUCUGACCAUUAGCCACCAUAUCAGCAGCAUGUGGUCUUCCUUCAUGCAACUUCAGCACUUUCUCCACGGCAAUGCCUUUCAGGUCCAGAAAAUGAGCUGUUCCCGAGGUGGCAACGAUCUUGAACCCGAGCUCGAGGAAGGACACCGCGAUUUUCUCUAGGUGCGAUUUGGUCAUAUCGUUUAAGCUGAGGAAGACUGUCCCGGUUAAAGGUAGCUUUUGACCUGCAGCGAUCUGAGCCAUUGCAAACGCACUUGAAAAUUCAGAACUGAUGCUCAUCACUUCUCCUGUGCUUCUCAUCUCUGGCCCGAGUAUCACAUCACAUCCUUGGAACUUCUCAAAUGGGAAAACAGCUUCUUUGACAGAGAUGUGUUUAGGGAUGACUUCUUUUUCAAAGUUAAUGUCUUUGAGAGAUUUGCCUGACAUGACCAGUGCAGCAUACUUGGCAAGCGGAUGUCCAAUGGCUUUCGAGACAAAAGGGACAGUACGGGAAGCUCGGGGAUUGGCUUCAAGCAAGAAAACAUCCCCAGAUGUCGUGAUUGCAUACUGACAAUUCAUCAGCCCACAUACAUUUAGCUUCUUCGCCAGCUUAGUGGUCCAUGAACGGAUAGUUUGUAAACAAGAAGAUGGGAUAGUUUGUGUUGGAAGCAUACAGGCCGAGUCACCAGAAUGCACACCAGCUUGUUCGAUAUGCUCCAUUAUUCCACCAAUCACCACAUUUCCAUAGGAAUCAGUAAGGGUAUCAACGUCGAUCUCAAUGGCAUCAGAGAGAUAUUUAUCUACCAAAACAGGUCUCUCUGGGUCAACUUCAACCGCAUUUUCCAAAUACGUUAUUAAUCUACUGUCAUCAUAAACGAUCUCCAUUGCCCGUCCACCUAGAACAUAAGAAGGUCUUACCACAACUGGGUAGCCUACCUCCUUCGCAAUGGCUAAGGCAUCAGCUUCGCUCUUUGCAAUGCCUCCCUUGGGUUGCUCAAUUUUCAGCUCAUCAAGAAUUGCAUUAAACCUCUCUCUGUCUUCAGCAGCAUCAAUGGAGUCAGGUGAUGUACCCCAGAUGCGAACAGGUCCCUCUCCGCUCAAACUCAUGGGCAUGUGCUUAUCCAAAUAACGUUUGAUUGGGAGAGCAAGUUUCAGAGGAGUUUGACCACCAAAUUGCACUAUUAUUCCAUCAGGUUUUUCAAGAUCAAUAACAUUGAGAACAUCCUCGAUUGUGAGAGGUUCAAAGUAGAGCCUAUCGCUUGUAUCAUAAUCUGUGGAUACUGUUUCAGGAUUUGAGUUCAACAUUAUGGUCUCAUAUCCAGCAUCCUGCAAAUAUAUUUAAAUAGUCGAUAUGUAAAUUUUGCGAAACAAAGUUGAAAGAUGUGUGGCAACAACAGUAAGGCGAGAGACGCUUAGAUUGUCUAGGACUAACCUGUAAGGCGAAAGAUGUGUGGCAACAACAGUAAUCAAAUUCAAUCCCUUGACCAAUACGAUUUGGCCCUCCACCCAAAAUCAAAACCUUCUUCUUGCUGUUUGGAGCUGAUUCACAUUCAAAAUCAUACGAAGAGUACAUGUAUGGUGUAUGCGCUUCGAACUCUGCUGCACAUGUAUCAACUCUCUUGUAAGAUGGAACAACUCCUAAAGAAAUCCGCUUUGUACGGACUUCUUCUUCUGUUGUCUUUGUAGCAUAAGCGAUUUGCUUGUCACUAAAUCCCCGCUUUUUGACUUCGUAAAGGUCUUCUUUUGUAAUCUCUGACAAGGUUCCGCACAUAAGAUACUGUUCCACGUCCACAAGCUCUUUAAGCUGGGUUAGGAACCACUUGUCUACCAUGCUCAACUCGUAGAUUUCAUCAAUCUUCAUACCCUUUUUCAUGGCAGCAUAUAUCGCAUGGAUCCUGUCCGGAUUUGGGACUCUAAGGCUGUAUUUAAGCUGAUCCCAGUCCCAAUCUAGCUCUUUGAUUUUUGCACAACCCCAACCUGAGAAUCCAGACUCCAGAGACCUCAGAGCUUUCUGGAAAGAUUCUUGGAAUGUGCGGCCGAGAGCCAUAGAUUCCCCCACAGAUUUCAUCUGGGUCGUUAGCAAGGGCUGAGAUCCUGGAAACUUUUCAAAUGCGAAUCUAGGAAUCUGCAGGAUAUAAAAAAGUGUAUAGAAUAAGCAAAUUAUGCAUCGAGUUUGUAUUUCCUCAAGUGGAUAUACGUGAGUAAAUCCUGAAACUCAAGAGAGCAUCUCAUUUUGCAACACAAAAAAGAAAGCCAAAAGAAUGCACUCGAAAGAAUGACAAACCUUAGUCACCACAUAAUCGAUGGAGGGCUCGAAGCUAGCUGGUGUUUUCCUGGUGAUAUCAUUAGGAAUCUGAUCCAAGGUAUAACCAACAGACAACUUGGCUGCCAUUUUAGCAAUGGGAAAUCCUGUAGCCUUGGAAGCAAGAGCAGAAGAUCUCGAGACCCUAGGGUUCAUCUCUAUGAUCAUAACUUCACCAUCAACGGGGUUAACUGCAAACUGCACAUUAGAUCCACCACACUCAACACCAAUCUCCCUUAUAAUGGCAAUGGAAUAAUCCCUAAGCCGCUGGUACUCCCUAUCCGUAAGGGUCUGUGCAGGCGCCACAGUAAUGGAAUCACCCGUAUGCACACCCAUAGGAUCAAUGUUCUCAAUGGAACAGAUAAUGACAACAUUGUCAGCUAAGUCUCUCAUCACCUCAAGCUCAUAUUCUUUCCAACCCAACAACGACUUCUCAACAAGAACCUGACUUGUCACACUGGCAGCCAAACCGGCUUUACAAAUGGACUCAAACUCCUCUUUGUUAUAGGCAAUUCCACCACCAGUACCACCCAAAGUAAACGCAGGACGGAUAAUCAAAGGGAACUCACCAAUUCUCCCAGCAAUGUCGAAACACUCAUCAAGAGUGUUCCCAAUCCCUGAAGGUGGAGUCUUUAGCCCAAUGUUCUUCAUGGCCUGCUUAAACAAAUCACGAUCUUCAGCUUUCUUAAUAGCACCAAGCUUAGCCCCAAUCAAUUCAACACCGUAUCUCUCGAGAGCACCACUCUCAGCAAGAGCAACGGCAAGGUUCAGUGCGGUUUGGCCACCCAUGGUAGGCAACAAAGCGUCAGGCCUCUCUUUCUCAAUAACCUGCUCGACGAGCUCAGGAGUCAUGGGAGCAAUAUAGGUCCGAUUAGCAGUCUCCGGGUCAGUCAUGAUAGUAGCCGGAUUGGAAUUGAUGAGAAUGACAUCGUAACCCUCUUCCCUAAGGGCUUUACAAGCUUGAGUUCCAGAGUAAUCAAACUCGCAAGCUUGGCCAAUCACAAUGGGACCAGCACCGAGAAUCAUAAUCUUCUUCAGAUCGGUCCUUUUCCCGACGAUCUCCGGAGAAAAGGCCUUGGUAGUGGUGUCGGCGAGCUCUGAGACGGGUUUGAGAACACGAGUAACGGAGGCUUUGCGGUUGAGACAUGGGAGAAAAGUGGAGAAGGAAGAAGAAGAAGAGCCAAGCUUGGAUUUAGCUCUGUAAUUGUUGGCAGAGCGAGAGAAGAAGGUGGAAUUGGAGAGCUUGGAAGGAGAGAAGCGAGGAUGAGAUUUUGAAGAAGCGAAAAUGUUAGAAGAGAGUUCUAAGCAAUGGUUACUCAUUUCGUCUGUGUCGGCUCUCUGUUACUGGGUGAGAGACUGCAGAAGAGAGAGUAGUAAGUGAGACACCAGAAAGAGAGAGAGGGUUUUAUUUAGGGUUUCUCGGGAAUUUGGAUUAUUUCGGUUUAUUAUAUUUUUAUUAAAUUUUUUAUUUGUCCUUUUCAAAGUUUCGUGGCAUAUUGAUCUGAUUUAUAUAUCACACGUUCAACAAAAGCUUUGGGAAAAAUUUGACAACUGUAAAAGAAAGAUCAUAAAGGGUCCGAGAGUCCGACCAGAAACAAAAUACUGAAAUAGAUAUGUAAGGAAUAAAAACACUACUGUUUAGGUUAUUUGAUUGACUCAAUUAUUUACAUCACUGUUUCCCUAAUUUCCUUUUUAAAGAACAAAUGUGAUACCAUAUAUCUUUUUAUGAUUUAAACCCCUUCGAAAGUACAGUUUUAAAUGAACAUACUCAACAUAGGCAAAAGAAGAGGGCACACGAGCCUGUCAAGGGUUAAUGUGGGAUCAGGCGAAGAAUAAGACCAAAGAAAUAUAAACUAAAUGAUAUCGCAGCCAUAGCAAGGACGUUGUGGACAGAUUGGGUUUUGGUCUUUGGGUUUAUAAAACACACAUCUCUUAAAAUCCAAAUAAUUUUAAUUAGGCCCAUAAGCCCAAUAUGAUUAAUUUCAUUUAGUCGUCACAAAAUAGCAAAGCCUCUCACCACUGGAAUUAGGGUAACGCCAUUGUUGUUGGUUCUUUGUCACUCACCACCGUCCGUGACAAGAGUUAUAGCUUGUAGAGUGUCACCUUCUUCAAGCUUAGGUAACACCAUUAUCUUCCUUCGUUAAUCUUCAACGAUCUUCAGUAUCUUCCAUAGUAUCGAUUUUUGCUGUUGUUUAGCUUUCAUAUUCCUGCAAAAUGAAAUCGAAGAAGUAUCGUUUUCUUGUUUAGAUAGAGAUUUCGUUUUGUAGCUUUUUCCAAUUGUUUCAUCUUACUUGCAGCUGAGAUUUUCACUUCUAGACUAUUAGCAACUCUUAGGAUCUGUUUAGAAUUGAGUGUAGGCUUUGUUUAGCAACUGUUUUAAAAUUGCUUUGUUGAUUCUUUAUCCUAAACCAUAAGGUCUAAUGUGUAAGUGGAACCAACACCGCAUCUUCUCUACCUUUGUCUCUCUUCGCAGACAACAAAUCUUCAGUGUUCGUCGAUUCCAAACCACCACAACCCUUGGCAAACCCAUCUCCAUUGCUUCAAUUCAGAUUCCGAUGGACGCCACUGAACAAUCUCUCCGUCAAUCCCUAUCGGAGAAAUCGUCAUCUGUCGAAGCUCAGGGUAACGCCGUCCGAGCUCUCAAGGCCUCCCGUGCAGCGAAACCGGAUAUCGAUGCCGCUAUCGAGCUACUUAACAAAUUGAAGCUCGAGAAAUCCGCAGUUGAGAAGGAGCUUCAGUCCACAAUUAGUGGCUCUGGUAAUGGUUCUCUUAACCGUGAGGCCUUUCGAAAAGCUGUAGUCAACACUCUUGAGCGGCGUUUGUUCUAUAUUCCUUCGUUUAAAAUCUACAGUGGCGUCGCUGGACUUUUUGAUUAUGGUCCUCCUGGAUGUGCUAUUAAGUCCAAUGUCCUGAGCUUUUGGCGUCAAGUAAGGAACACUGUUCACAUUUCUCUGUAUUCAAAGUCAACAAGAUUUAUAGAGUAGAAUUUGAGUUAGGUUUGUUCUUACACGGGAUAGAUUUGGGUAGAAUUUGACAUGAUUGAUAGAGUAAAAAUUGUGUUAGGUUUGUUCUUAUAUGCUAUUUGAUUUGAUUUGCAGCAUUUCAUUCUUGAGGAGAACAUGCUAGAAGUUGAUUGUCCAUGUGUGACACCAGAGGUUGUUCUCAAGGCAUCGGGGCAUGUAGAUAAGUUCACUGAUCUUAUGGUUAAGGAUGAGAAAACUGGAACAUGUUACCGUGCAGACCACUUGCUCAAGGAUUAUUGCACAGAGAAGCUGGAGAAAGAUCUUACCAUCUCUGCUGAUAAAGCUGCUGAACUGAAGGAUGUUCUUGCUGUUAUGGAAGAUUUUUCUCCUGAACAGCUAGGUGCGAAAAUUAAGGAGUAUGGGAUCACUGCUCCGGACACAAAGAACCCACUUUCUGAUCCUUACCCGUUUAACUUGAUGUUUCAAACAUCCAUUGGCCCAUCUGGUCUAAUUCCUGGGUGAGUAUUUUUAAUGUUAUGAUUGUUUCUGAGCUACUUUCUUUCCUGAUUUUUUAAUAUCAAAUUACUCUUUUUUUUGUGUGUUUCAGUUACAUGCGUCCUGAAACUGCUCAAGGCAUCUUUGUGAACUUUAAGGACCUGUACUAUUACAAUGGGAAGAAACUUCCAUUUGCCGCGGCUCAAAUUGGUCAAGCCUUUAGAAAUGAGGUAAUAUAUUGCUUUCCUUGAUGUAUGGGAUGUGUUCAUCUUCUGUAAAAGACUAUUUUCUCUAUUGUGUCUGGGUUUAAAUAAGUAGCAUAUUACUCGCAGAUAUCUCCUCGUCAAGGACUUCUUAGAGUUCGUGAAUUCACGCUGGCAGAGAUUGAGCACUUCGUUGAUCCUGAAAAUAAGUCACAUCCCAAAUUUCGUGAUGUAGCAAAACUGGAAUUCCUUAUGUUCCCAAGGGAGGAACAAAUGUCUGGCCAAUCUGCAAAAAAACUUUGCCUUGGUGAAGCUGUUGCUAAGGUUAGUAUUUGUAAUAAUAGUAGCCUAUUUAAUUUUUACUAAGCUCUCUUCCACACCCAUUUUUAUAUCUUAUUGAUGCCUGCAAUUGAAAACCUAUACGUAUAGGGUACUGUGAACAAUGAAACUCUAGGAUACUUCAUUGGGAGAGUAUAUCUUUUCCUUACCCGCCUUGGCAUAGACAAGGAACGGCUGCGCUUCCGUCAGCAUCUAGCAAAUGAAAUGGCCCACUAUGCAGCAGAUUGUUGGGAUGCUGAAAUUGAGAGUUCAUAUGGGUGGAUUGAAUGUGUUGGGAUUGCAGAUAGGUCUGCCUACGACCUGCGUGCUCAUUCUGUAUGAACCUCACCUUUACUUAUAUUUUCAUCAUUUCGUUUGACAGCUAUAGAUAAUUAAUGAUCAAAAGCCGUAAGUAUUCCUAGUUAAACUCAUGUUGAUCAACUGUUGCACGACAGGACAAAAGUGGCGUUCCCCUAGUGGCUGAAGAGAAAUUUGCAGAACCUAAAGAAGUAGAGGUAUUUUAGUGAACAAAUUCAUUCGUCUCUGAUUCUUUGUCGUUAUAACUUCCCCUUAAUAAGGUUCUCUUCUAUUUCAGAAACUUGUGAUUACACCUGUGAAGAAAGAACUGGGUCUUGCAUUCAAGGGAAAUCAAAAGAAUGUGGUUGAAUCUUUGGAGGUUGAACUCUAUUGUUUACUGCAUAGCUUCUUCUACAUGGUGCUGGUUUAAAAUAAAUAUCAUGCUUAAUGUAAUAUUUUUUUUUUUAUGUUAGGCAAUGAAUGAGGAAGAAGCUAUGGAGAUGAAAGCAACCCUGGAAUCCAAAGGGGAAGUGGAGUUUUUCGUGUGUACCCUUAAGAAAAAUGUGACCAUCAAGAAGAAUAUGGUGUCAAUCUCAAAGGAGAAGAAGAAAGAACACCAGCGGGUUUUCACUCCAUCAGUGAUUGAACCAUCGUUUGGGAUUGGACGGAUCAUAUAUUGUCUGUACGAGCAUUGUUUCAGCACAAGGCCAAGCAAAGCAGGGGAUGAACAAUUGAACGUGUUCCGUUUCCCUCCUCUUGUAGCUCCCAUCAAGUGCACAGUUUUCCCGCUUGUUCAGAACCAACAAUUCGAGGAAGCAGCCAGAGUUAUUUCUAAGGAACUGGCUUCUGUUGGUAUCUCACAUAAGAUUGACAUCACUGGUACGUAAAAACAAUUUGAGAAACGAAGGUUUUUUUUUAUAACUAUUGAAAUGGACAAACUGAGUGAAGAUUUGUGUCUGUGUGUGAAUGUGAAUAGGUACGUCGAUAGGGAAGAGAUAUGCAAGAACCGAUGAGCUUGGAGUGCCAUUUGCAAUAACAGUGGACUCAGAGACAUCAGUGACAAUCAGAGAAAGAGACAGCAAAGAUCAAAUCCGAGUCAGUUUGAAGGAGGCAGCGUCCGUUGUGAGCUCAGUCGCAGAGGGGAAGAUGACAUGGCAAGACGUGUGGGCAAGCUUCCCACACCACUCUUCUGCUGCAGCAGACGAGUAGCUAGCUCUUUCAAUCACCAUGACCAUAAUCCUUACUCGUGUUUUUCUUUUUUACAUUUCGAACUAAAGAGGGAAUUUUAAGUUCAACAAACCAUCAUUGAAUGAUUUGGCUGUAAUGCAUACACAUCACUUCUGGGGUAGAACUUAAAACUCAUGUUCUGCAUAUAUGCAUGUCACUUUUGUAUAAACAAGGUCCUUUUAAUUGCGGUCUUUGUCAAAAGAAAAAAUGAAAAGAAACUCUUGUUAAUGUUUGGGUUGAAGUCUGAAGAAAUCGAUGAUUCAGGGGUGAAGUCGUUUUCGUUAAUGUAACCGCGAGUCAACAAUUUCUGCAUUUCCACCAUCGACCAAAAAAAGAAAAGAAAGUGAAGACUUUAAAACCAAAUUAAAAACAUACGUUACCAAACUUUGUUGUCCAAUAAUGAAAUCAUCAUGCAUAAUCAGAAUAGACGAACCAAAUGCUAAUUAAUACCAAAUUUACGAAGACGACGAAAUACACUAAAACAUGUAUGCAUACCUCUAAUUAGAGACGUUCAUAAAGUUUUAACUCUUACAAGAAUGACGAAUCAAAAGUCCAAAUAAUUAGUAGUAGGUUGUCAAUUUGUCAUCAGUGAAAUAUAUAUAUAUAUAUACAUGCAUAUAAAGAUAAAAUAUCAGAAAUACCUAAGAAUCUACUCAUAUAUAGUACUAAAUUAUUUAUGUUUUACAAAAAUUAUAGUGUAAUCAUGAUCAUAAAGCUUAGAACUAUAUAUAGUACAUGCCCUCUCUCAACUCAAGAUUCGUGCUUCGAGAACAUUGAAGGAACAAUGUCCUGAAGAAGACCAAAGUCAACACCCGCAGGUUGAUGAUUAUUAUUAUUGUAACUAGUAAUCAUCCCAUGACCAUGAUCGUUCGACAUAGAUCCCACUGAUGAUAGAUAAUUGGCAGGAGGAUGUUUCAUCAUGAGAAACUCUUGACGGUGAUGAAGAGGGAAGCUAUGGAGGAAACUGCUUCCACCACCACGGUGACCUAAUAGAUGUUCAGCGGCCACGGUUCCUCUCAACGUCGAAGGGAUCGGAUGGUUGUGUUUUCCUUCGUAUGUUGUUAUUACGAUCGACGGAUCUUGAAACGAUCUUUCUACACGUUUUUUUACGUUGCACUUCUGUGUUGUGCACCUAUAGUAACUCCUGUAAGCGCAUAUAUACAUAGAUAUAUAUUAUGAUAUGAUGAUCUAUAAAUAUAUGUAUACUCGUAAGUCGUAACAUGUAAAUGCAAGGACAACGUAAAUAAAAUGUAUGUGGUAGUGAGGAAGGGAACCUUGGAUAAGGGCUGUUCUUGACGGCCUUUUGUCCAUAUUUUCUCCAUCUAUAGCCAUCUUCAAGAUGAUCAAUCUCGCUUUUGGUCAUAAAUGCAACUUUAGCUUCUCUCUCUUUCUUCUCUCCUUUCUUUUUACCUUGUUUUGUCCUGACCAUACUCAUCAUCCACCAACAAAAUAUCAAUCUCUAGGGUUUUAACUUUGUAAAAAGUUUUAAUUCUUUUAUCAAGUGAUUGUUGAUGAUUUUCGUAAGCUUGAUCACAUUAUAUUAUCUGUCUUUUGGUUCAGCAAAUCUAGUUACGCAAAAAGAAGAAAAGAAAUAUGCGAGAGGAAGAGUGAAAGAAAUGUAAAAGGUUGAAAAAGCACUCACACUUGCUUGGAACUUUCACGAACACCAACACCAUGUUGGUCUCCUUCGUUAUCCUCAUUGGGGUUCUCUUUAGGAUCGGCUUCAUUAGAGGAAGAUGAGACCAUAGGAGAAUUCGAACUAAGAUUUAAGUAAGGGUUGUUUACUAUAUGGCCUAUAUUGGAAGGUGAAACCGGUUGAAAAGGGGAACCAUAAGGUGGGAAUUUAAAACCCUUCUCUAGAGAGUUAUAAUCCAUCACUAAUGAGCUUUGUAAGCAAUCGGUUAUACUCGUGAAUGACACUUCUUCUAAAUAUGUGUUCUUGCUCUCAACAUGAUCAUCCAUUGAUGAAGAGACGGAGAAAAAGAAGAAGAGGAAGAGACAUGGUUCUUCAAACUUAGGUGUUAGGUUAUAUGUGGACUUUGGGUGAUCAAGUCUUAUAAAUACAAGUCCAUUCAACUUUACUUCGAUGGUAUCUUUAAUUUAGUUCUGAAUAUUCAAUUACGGUCUUAAUUAUAUGUUUUUGGAGCGAUAUCAUUUGGAGAGCAUACAUAUAUGUAUAUUGGUCUUAAGAUAAUUAAAAUAGUUUCUCCAACACAUAAUUAAUUAUAUAAUAAACAAAAAUACCGAAUUAUAAUAUUAAUGUACGUAAUUUGAAAUUAUAGUCUCGCUACAAUGUGAAAUACAUAAUAAUUUGAAAGAAUUCAAGAGGGAGCUAGAUAUUGGAAAGUUUAAAAGGGUCAUAAUCUUUAAAGACUUUAGUGGGUAUAAUAUUUUGCUAAAAUAUCUUUGUGUAUGUGAAAAAGAUAGGUUUGAAAAUUUCAACUUAAAAUUUAAUUAGCUAGAGAGCUAUCUAACAAAAAAGUGGUUUCUAUAAAGGAAACAUUUAACUAUAUAUUUCUCUCUAAUCCUAUCUACCACACUAUGCUUUGGCUUUCUUUCCUUUCAAUCGUUUUGUUCUCUCUUUAUUUGUAAACUUAUGAUAUAUAUAAAUUAAAUCGAUCAAAUGAAUCAAUCAACGAUAUCUUUCGUAAAAUGGAAUCCAUAUCCAUAUACAUUAAUAAGGUUUAGUACAAAAAUCACACGCACGGUACAUGCAUGUAGAAUUUGAUGUCUAAAUAUAUGUGUAAUGCACAUAUGAUUAGAUGAUUUUUUUUUUUUUUUUUUUUUUUGUGUGUGCAAAUGAUUGGAUUUGUAAGAAGUAUAUUUACGUAGCUAGAAGUCCUAGUGAGGAAUAUUAAAAAUAAAGAUAAAUAGCUAGAGGUCAAAUGUAUAAAGGCAAUGUAGACAAUUUACAUCUACUUCCAACAUCUUUGCACUCGUCAAAAGCAAACUUUCUUGGUGAAUUAUAACGAAUCAUAUAUUAAUAUGCAUAAACACACACAAAAAGUCUCCAUUUUGUGUCUCUCUAGAAACCCUUUAUAUUGGGGGUUAAUUAUUACAAAUAACCUCCAUAAAAAGAAAAGAUAGCUAAUCUCUUUCAUAUUUAAAUAAGUGUUCUACCAAAGAGAUAAGGGUUUAUUUAAGUUAGAAAUUAAAUAAAUAUACCCCUUGCUUUUGGAGCUACAUUAUUGUUGUUGAUUCAAAGUCAGCGAAGACCAACUUGUCUUGUGAACAGUCAACGUCCUUCAAAGCAAGAACUUCACUUUCUUCAUUAUAUAUAUACUUCAACAAGACAAGUCUUAAACAUUAAUCUUAUCCUGAUAAAGUAUGUAGAAAACGAAUCUAUGAUUGGAUCAAAUAAUAGCAAGUAACAUUCUUAUACGCAAAUGAUUGGACCAAAACAUUAAUUAUAAUACUCUUAGCAUUAUUUGAGAUUCGGAACACAAUAAUAUACUAACCAUAUGAUAUAUAACAUUUCUAUAAAUUGUUAGAAACGUAAAAGGAAAAGAAGAGACGUAUAACGUGGAAGGAAAUGGCAAUGUCUUUGACCAUUAAGGUCAGCAAAGUCGUGCAUGUUACUUGCUCUUCCUUUUUUCUUUUUCUUUAAUGUCUUUGAUGAAUGAUCCAUAAUGACCAAAGCCCUAUGUCAUGUUAUGUAUUUGGUCCUUAAAUUCUUUUUUUUUUUUUUUUUUNNNNNNNNNNUUUUUUUUUUUUUUUUUUUUUAAUGUAUUUGGUCCUUGGUUUCUUAAUUAAAGUCUAUAAUUGCCGCUUUGAUAUUUAAUAAUCACUAUAGUAGUGAUGCAUACUUUAAAGUCUUGAUUGUAUUUUUAAUCACUAUGUGAGAGGUCGAAUUGAAGUGUUCGAACACACUAAUCACAUUCGUGUUGUUAUAAUUGUUUAAGUACAAGUAUAAGUAACUAACCUUAAAAAGGGUUAAACCCAAAGUAUAUAGCAUUCUUUUACACAAAAGUGUUCAGGUGGGAACAGGUUCCACUUCUUUGGAUGAAGGAGCCAAAAAAAAGCAUUCGUUCAUUAGCUUUUCGUUUUGUCAAUUAAAGCACUAUAAUCGGAGUUUUGUGUACGUACGUACGUACGUAGCAUUUCUAGUUACUUUUGUCGAUUACUUGAUUAUGACAGAACCAAAGGUGUUUGAUUAGUCAAUUAGACGUUUGGGCUUAUUUAGUUAUUAUCUUUCUUUCUAGAAAACUUUUAAUCUAAAAAUUCAUAAUAGAUUAUCAUAAUAAAAUUCAAAAAUAGUACGAGAUUAAUUCAUAGGUAUAAAAAUUUUGUGGAGACACUUGCACCGUUGUUGUCGCUUUCUCUUCACCCGUUGACUAUUAUCAUAAAGGAUUUUACAUAUAAAUUCAUAUUAUUAGUUCUGAGUUCUAAUCUGUUUUAUAGACAAACAUUUGUAUUUAAUUAUAGGGAAAAUAACUAAUCUAUCAAAUGAAUCACUAAAUACAUAUUAUUUUUUUAAAUUGUCUAUGUAUGUCGUGUGAUAUAUUUAGUUUCACAAGUAGAUGUACGUAAAUAGAGCUCUAUCGUUUCAAAACUAUACAGUAUCAGUUUCAAUUAUAUAACUAAAAAAAAAACAUGAACUUAAGAACGUUGAGCAAAAACUACUCAUAUAUAUAUAUAUAUAUCUCAUGUCAGUUUGAGAAGAAGAAAAUAUUUUAAAAAGGAACCACUAAUGUCAAUUAUAGUUCUAGUUGAGAGUGAGUGUGACACUAAUUAUAAAGUUAUGAAUAUGUUUCGACGUUCAGAGCAGGUAGGUACUGUGUUUGGUAAUAAUAGCUCUCUAUUUUAAUUGUUAAAUGUCAAAUCUUAUUUCAUCUUCGAGAUCUCAUUAGCUCUAAAAAUUAUCAUUUACUUCUUUUACAUGUCCACGUAUCUCACGUUUCUCAUUCUAAAAAUAAAAUCGAUAAUUUGUUGACUGUUUUGAUUACACUUUAGUAUCAUAAAUUAUAAUUUGUAAUAAGUUAAACUUUUGUAAUUGAAAUCAAAUAUUAAAAUGCUUAUAUAUAAGCUAUAUAUAUGCUAUAUACUGUAUGAGAUAAUAAUAUGAACAUAACAAAAGCCGACAAAAUAAAAAAUAAAAAAGAGAAAAUUAUACUCUAUGCCAUGUACAGUACAAAAUGUUUUAAGAAUUGCCAUUUUCUUUAACUUCUUCUCCCGCCUGCCACAAAUCAAAAGUAAAAAGACUCUUUUAUCCUUCUUCCUUUCUCACAAAAGAAAAAAAUAAAAUAUUGUUUCUUUCUCUCUCCACACCUCCAGCAUUUUCUCUCUCUCUGCAUUUCUUCUCUCUCAAAAUUUCCUUCUCUCUGGUUUCAAUUUUUUUUUCAUUAAUAUCUCACACCAAUAGUAACAUCUAAUGGAAGCCAAAAGGUUGGAGAAAGAAAUUAUUUCGACCACAACGAUGAACAACGAUGCUUUUACUGUAGGUAGGUAUGUGAUUCACGUUGGUGACCAAAUCAAUUUCACAACUACAUUUUGUUUUUGUCUUUCAAUGGACCAGAUCUGGUGAACUAGAACCGAUAGACCAAACUUGUCCAUCCUACAAAUCUCAUGAAACCACAACUGAUUGACCAGAUGAUGCAACAAGUAAUGCAUCUAUUGAAGACGUCAUUUACGAUCCAUCAAGAUUUACACUUUGGAUAUCACAUUUGUGUAGAGAUGGACUAGAUCCGGUAGACUAGAUUCAGUGGACAGUGGACUAGAUCCGGUGGACCAGAUCCGAUGUAUGUAAUAUAUCAAUUUUUGUUUCUUAAUUUGUUGUAUAUCAUACGUAUAUAGCAAACUAAGUCCAAAUUUUUCAUAAACGAACUUGUCUAUAAUACAUAUGUUAGAUGGAUGAACAAAAAAACAUGUCCACAAUCGAUAGACCAGAUCUACUGCACAUAUCAUGUCCAUAAACACAAUUGUCCAUAUAUAGCAUUUAAUACUUAUCUAUUUUUAUUUGUCCUUUACCAGUUUAAGAAACCUUAUCAAUCCUUGCCGGAGUACAAUAGCUUACUCACCCCGAGUCGGAGGAUGUAGUGGAGAAAUCCCUCAGAACCGUUAAAGUAAGCUUUCGAUAGACCAGAUAUACUUUAUAUAUUUUGUCCAUCACAUAAAAUUUCAUUUGUGUCCUUUUUGACAUUACUUUAUAGAUUGUCUAUCGACUAUAAUGCACACAAUGAUAGGCAAGUGGACACCCCUACACAUCCUUGAUUAUCUUGUCUUGUCCACUCAGCUAUUAAACUCGGAAAUCACUACUCCUUCUUCACCACCCACACCGUCCACAAAAUCUCUCCUAUACUUGUCCUCCAUUAACACUACAUAGAUCUGCUUUUGCAAUUUCUUAUUUUUGUUUUGGUUUUAUCACUCACUAAAGCAUUUGUCCUCUAGAUAUUAGCAUACAUUGUAGCAUUUAAUGCUACUUUACCUGUCCAAAAAAAACAUCCCAUCAUGUUCAAUUUUUGAACACUAGUGCUAUUUGAGCUUCAAAUUGGUGAGGGCAAAAUCGUCACAUAAUAAAUGUUAUGGCAUGUUUUAAAAGAAAAGAAGAAAAAUGGCAACUUUAAACUUUUGAGUUUUGAAAGUGGCAUAGCCCACAAAAUUCCCAAUAAAAAAAGUAUUAGGAAAAAUAAUGAAAUACAGAAAUCCAAUGAGUGUAAAUAAAUUCAAAAGUCAAGAGUCAAAAGUCAACGUUUAAGCUCAGUUGAAUUCGAGAUUUUUUUAAAGUUUCAACAUCCACUCCACUAAUGUCAUUUUCUAAUAAGCACUACUGUAUUUAUUUAAGAAAGAAGAAAAAGUCUUUACGUUUAUAAUUUUUGUUUUUUUUUUAUAUAUAAUCUGAUUGAUAAUUGUACGGACCGUAACACACUUUUGCAUAUUAAAUGUAGUUUAUUUUUUGUAACAGUUUAUUAAAUUUUUCAAAGUAGCCACUUCAUCACUGUAGAACUUCGUCAUACGUUAGGAUGGCUACAUAAUCGAAUGAUGAUGAUGAUAUAUAUAUGUAUGACUCUCAUCUUCUAUGGUCGAACGAACGAUGAGUCUCGAUAUGUAUCUACGGACUCCAAAAUACUUCAUUAUCUCCAAGAAAGUUAUUGUUUCAAAAAUAAACCUUUUGAAAAAGAAGAGGACGACGACGACAACACCUUUCUCCUCGAUUCUUUUGAAGUGAACAACUACCCACUUUAGUUUUGAGUGUCAAAGUGAACUAUGUAGCAAGAGCUUUUAUUCCUUUUUUCUGUUAAUUGUUUUUGAGAGACCAAGUCUUACAUUUGCAUACAUCUGAUCUAUGUAUUGGUUACAAUGUCCCCCUUUCUAGCAGCAUUCAAAUUUAAAACUAGAGCAUUUGUUCUAUUUUAUCGAGAAAAAGAAGCUAAUGACUUGAGCAAAUCAUGAAUCAGUAGUAGCAUCAAAAUUACGAACAAGUAGAAUUAGAACAGAAUCAGUUUCUUUUCUAAUAAUAUUCAUAUCAAUAUCAUUUUAACAGGCAAUGCGAAUAGAGAGAGGAAGAUGAAAGACGAUAUUUCACAUAGGAUAUGCCCAUAAAUAAGAAUGCAGAGUGUUUUUUUUUUUUCAUUCAUUCAGUUUUACUUUGAAAUCUCAUGUCAAGCAUCUGGAAAAUCAUCAAAGAUUCACUCACAAUAAACAUAUUUAACAGCAACAUUUUAAGAUGUUCUUAGUGCACUCACCAACACAACUGUGAGAGAUCCCCUCCCCAUAGAUGGCUGUGCAAAGUACAGCAUGAUGUUCUUCUUCCUAAUCGUCAUCCACCCCACGGCGCCUGUGGAUCUGUAAACACAUCCGAGAUUAACUUAUUAAACUCAAUGAUAUUGAUGGUUAAGGUAAGAUCUGUUUUACUUGUCUUUACCGUGACUUUCGUUUGUUUGGUAGUUUGGCUGUUUAUUUGUUCCAACAGUGUUAUAAGCCUCUCCUCAGAAACCUGUAAAGCAAACAGAGUAUUUCAAUAAACUCUUAGAUGCAUCACACUUACUCAGACUCACUGACUCUUAAUUGGGUAGAACCAGAUCAUACGUAGUAAAAUUUUAAAAAUAUGACAUGGAAAAGUGUAUGGAUCUUGUUUACCUUUUCAACUAUUUGUCCCAUUUGAGCAGCCCUCAAAAUAACAUCCUCAACACCUCUAGCUUUCUCAGGUUUUACCAGGGCAAUUCGAGCAACUAUAGAGGAAAAAAAGGAAGAAAAAGAACCAUCAAAGAUAUAUAAACACAAUAUUGUGUCUCUCUCGAGCUUAGGAAGAUCAUCACAUUAAUUGACAUAAUGAAGGAUAAGGGCAGAGUAACUAGAUGAGCUCCAACACAUAUUAGAUGAGACUUACUUCUCUCUCGUGCUUGCGAAGACAAUAUUUGACUGAGCAUCAUUUGUCUACGUUCAUCAGCUUCCCUACACAAACGUCCCAAUCAGAGAAUACGUUAGUUCAAAAAUAGAAUUCCAAUGAUACACAAUCACUUGUCAGCUAAUUCAUUUUCAACUAAUACACAACGAUAAACACCUUUUAGCAUCAUCCUGUUGUUUCUCUUGCUCUGGAUUCUGCUGCUUACCCUGCUAAAUUAUACAGUUUCGUGAAGAUCUCUAAAUGGAAAACAAGGCACAAAAGUACACAUUUUUUUUGAAGAAAUCAGAUAUCAGUUAAGGUAGUAAAAAACUAAAAAUUACCAUGCCUUGACGAGCCAUAAGCUCUUGCAUUCUCCUCUGUCUAAUAGCUUCUAGUUCAGGAUCCGCCUACACAUCAGGAAGUAAAAAAGAACAGAUAUAAACAUAACAAUGCAGUGUCACAAUAACUGAAGAUUAGUCAAUCAAAGAAAACAAUCGACUAGAGAUAAGCAAAUAUAACUCAAAUAAUGCCAAAGUGCAAUGAAAGUAACCAGAUAGAGAUGAGUAUAAGUUUUGAUCAUCAAUUAUAUCUAGGCGAAUACAAUGAUUUGAUUUCACUAAAGCUACUACAGCUCAAGAACCAUGAAAUGGAGAAAAGAAUCCUUUGACGGAAACCGAAUCAACAAGUAAAUCAGUGUGCAAAAGCAACAGAAUCCAAAGGAAAUAAUUUACAAAUUUAUGAUGAAACAUGGAAUCACACUCUUAUUCAAACAACAAGACAGAUUCAAAAAUAAAUUAAAAAACUCAAGCAGAUCCACUUAUACUGAUUCAAACCAUCAUGGAAUAUCAAAUCUCUAAACUAUCAAACUUGGUACUGAUACUUUGCACAAGGUUGUCCCAACUAAAGAUUGAAUCUAAUACCCAGUUUCAAUCAUGUAUAAUUGUUCAAAUCACGUUCUAACUUAGGCAUAACCUCGUAGAGAAAAUUCCCCAAAAACCCUAAGCAAUUCGAGUUUCCCAGAGAAAAAAAGCUAAUUGAAAGACGCGUAAAUAACAUUGGAGAUAUCAAUCUCACCAUUGGAGCAGUGUUCGUCUCUUUCCUCUGGUAUCCCAAAUCGAAAUCGCGCCUUCACCUCAAAAAGCCAACACAGAGCUCUCUCUCUCUCUCUAAAAGGAGAAAUGCUUCAAAAACCCAAACGUAGCUUUUGUUAGACGCGCUUCAUAUCACAGUCUGUCUCUUUUUUUACAUAUUCUCCAAUUUAUUUAUAAGUUUUACUAAUAAUAGCCAUAAACUUAUGAUUUCAACAUUUUACCCCCUUCCUCUAUCUAAACGUCAUAAUACGUAUCGUAUUUUAAAAUUAGUAACUAAAUUUGAAAUUAUAAAAUGUCAUCAUCCAUUAUCGUAUUUUGUUAACACGUAUCGUUCUAUUUUGUUAACACGUGCCAGUUUUUGGAUUUUUUUUCCAUAAAUUGUAUUACACUAAUAACAAAUCUCUUCCAACAAAUUAAGGAAACAAGUUGAGAAUGGAUUCGUCUAAGGGAAGCUCAGCUGCUAGUAUACAGAAGAUUGUGAUUCCCAACAGCAACAACGAGAAGCUGGUCGGUCUGCUUCAUGAAACUGGUUCUACUGAAGUUGUGGUCUUGUGCCAUGGUUUCCUAUCAAACAAGGUUAGUUUUGGUCUCAUUCUCAGAUCUCUUGUGGAACUACUGAGAUUUUGAGACUUGAUUCAGUUCCCAAUUAUAAACCACUUUGUGUUCUGUAAGAUUCAUUAAUAAACUCACUCAAGUAGCUUAUAAAGAUUCAUUAAUGAUUUAGUUGACCAUUUAGGGAUUUGUAGGCCAAAGGAGUUCUUACAUAAAUGAACUUGUCCUUUGGGUUAUGAACUUAUGCAGAAUGAUCCAGUCAUCAAAAAUGUUGCUGUUGCUUUAGAAAAAGAAGGGAUCAGUGCUUUCCGGUUUGAUUUCUCUGGAAAUGGGUGUGUUUUCUCUUGCUUGGUUUAUCAUUGUUUUUGCAUAGGUGAAUGAGAGAAUUUGGAUUUUGUUUAGAGAUCUUUGAGGUCAUUGCUGAAUGCAGAGAGAGUGAAGGCAGUUUCUAUUUUGGUAACUACAACUAUGAAGCUGAUGAUCUACGUUCUGUUAUCCAAUACUUCACUAACAUGAACCGUGUGGUUCCUAUAAUUCUCGGCCACAGUAAAGGUAACAACACAAGGGGUGUGAAUCUGACAAUUGCAAGAAUCUCAAAACUAUAUAUUUUGACAUUGCAUAUAUUGCAUAUAUAUAUAUAUAUAGGAGGUGAUGUGGUCCUUGUCUAUGCCUCGAGGUUUCAUGAUAUCCGCAAUGUGAUCAAUCUCUCCGGAUAUUCUGAUCUCAAGAGAAGCUUAGUAAUGCGUCUUGGUGAAAAUUAUUUGGAAAGAAUUACGCAACAGGGUUACAUCGAUGCUGAAGAAUGUAAUGUUAUCUCUCUCUUUACUUUUACUCUACAGUCUCAGAUAAGUAAUCUAGUGUGUCUUUUGUUUUAAUGUGCUGGUCUGUUACACAGAUAAUAUCAAGUAUCGUGUUACUAAGGAGAGUUUAAUGGAAAGGCUAAACACUGAUAUGCAUGAAGUUUGCCUCAAGAUUGACAAAGAAUGCAGGUGAGAUUGAUUCGCCGAGUUUUUGGACUAUGAAGAAACCAUGAUUGAUUGAAAUGGUGGCAGGGUCUUGACGGUUCAUGGAUCAGCUGACGAAAUAAUACCCUGGGAAGACGCCAAGGAGUUUGAGAAGAUCAUACACAACCACAAGCUGGAGAUUCUGGAAGGAGCUGAUCAUUGUUAUACCAAACAUCUAAGUCAACUAGUUACAACAGUUAUGGAGUUCAUAAAGACAGUCAUUGUCAACCACUAGUUUUCGUUUGUUUGUUUUUCUCUUUUGACUAAUGUUCAUGAUGCAUAAUACUGCUAUAAACACCACCAGGCGGUGACUGAAUGAUUUGCCCCGUAUGAUGGGUCUAGAAUCAUGGAACAUUACAAUCACACAACAGUCAUCGUUUGUCUCGGAGCACACAACAUUACUUAGUAGCAAGCACUUCGUUAGCUUGCAAACCUAGAAGCAAGUUCAGCCUCUACUUGUCUGUGGCUCGCAUCACAUGGAAUACAUGAAUAUAUGGUCAAAUGGUAAAGAAAAAGAUGAUUGCACAUAGAUAUUUAACAGAGACCUAGUCUUAAGAGCUUUUGUUAUCUCAAUGAUUCCGACAAUUUUAUAUCCUUUAAACAACAGUAUGGCAAUUGACAAGUAUCAUCUUAAAUUAGUAUUAUCAAUACAAAAACUGAUUCAGAGUUUGUUUAUUGGAUGAGAAUAUAAUCAGCAUCAAAUAUAUCUCCAGCUGUAGGAGAGAGGUUGUUUCUACGGAGCUGGGCAUGACUCUCUGCUUCGUGUUGAAAUAUCUUGACCACAUCUUGUAGCUCCAGCUUUCUAACUUCCACUUGUUCUUCUGUGAUGGGUUGUUUAAGCCCCAAGUACACCAGACCAACCGCAAUCAAAACACCUCCAAUGAGAAGCAUAAGGAUAGUGAACAAAAGAAACGCAUAAGGCGUGUUCUGCGCCCCUGGGAUACCAUCAACGUUGAUCCCAAACAGCCCUACAAUUAUAGUAAGCACUAGACCGCAUCCUCCAAAGACGGCCAAGUUGUGGCUUACUCGUAAGCUUUUGUCCUGAAAGUGUAAAUUGGGUUUUUAGCCAAAGAGAUCCAUUAUGCUAGAUGUAUGAGUCAUACAAUGAUAAUUUAGUUCAAGGUCUAGGAAGAACCUGCAACCAAGCGCGAACACUGCUUUGCAUAACAUCUUGAAUUGUGAAGAGACGUCCACGGACCGCUUCUUGUUCUUCCAACAUUUCUCUUGUGUUCUUCCUCAGACUCUCUAACAAAUGUCGAGGUAUGUUUCCCCUUAGAUGCUGAAGAAGCUCAAAGAUAAUCUCCUCUCUUGCGUGUAGUGACCACUUCACUCGGAUGACCUGCCAUGAGAAAACAAAGACUUCACGUUCAUGACUAUCGUUCAAUUUGUCCAACAUGUACACAUUCUGUCUCAAUUAUAACAUCAAAAGAGGCUUUGCCAACAAAAGACCAGUCAUAUUCCAUUUAAUUUGUAUUGAGGUUAGCUACAUUAAAAUAGAAGAUGACCUGUCUCGAUAACUUUCUGAUCUCUUGGUUGAGAAUGAUACUGAAAAGAUUCAAAUCCUCAUGGUUUCUCCUAAUAACAAGAAAAGAUAGAGUUUGUUACCAAAACAUGUAUUGUUUAUCAGCCCAAAAAAAUGGAUAUGUAUAUGUAAGAACCUGUUCAUAAACUUCAAUUCGAUUUCAUCCGCCGCACCAAAUAUGGAUUUACGGAACAAUCUAUCACCAAUCAAUGAAAACAAAAAGAUCUAGUUAGAUACAGUCUAGAAAAUAACAUUAUAUAUAUAGAAAGCAAGUCGCUUGUUUGGGCAGCAAAACUAGACAAGUCUUAAUUGAAGAAAAGAUAAAUCAGAAAUCUCUCGUCACCUAUCAUCCCAUCGAGAAAGACGGCAAGCCAAGUGUGCUAUGACUUCAUGAAUCGUCUUUGGUACAUUAUAUCCUCCUGCAUAAAGCAACUCCUAUAAUAUAAAAGUUUUUUUUUUUUUAACGUAUGUUAGUAACUGCAGGCCUAUGAUAUUUAAGCUUUAAAAACUUAUCAAGUAGAACAUUUUGACAGUUUCAAAAACAAACCUCUACUUCAGUGAUGCCGAGAACAUUAGUAUUUGAUACAUUUCCUUUUAUGUGCAUCACAGAUACCAAAAAGUUUUUCGCUUGCCAAGAGCGAAAUACAACAGGUACAUCAUCCUCACUGAUUACUGGAUCACCGACUGAUUGUCCUAAGAGCUCAAACAAUAAACCCCCAGCAACCCUCACUGGAACCUAAGCAAAUUAAUAGGAAAAAAAAAUUAGACAAAACAUCCACCAAAAUAAAUUGUAAUAAUCCGUUCAAGUAACAUGAAAAUCUUUAUUAUGUUAAGAGACCAUCACACAUCUUUUAUCCUAUCAAAAACCAAUAUAACGGCAGUGUUUUGAACAAGUCUGCCUAUUGACUGUAAACACUCAACUUGCAUGUUUUGAUUGGAAACAAGGGACAUAUACCUCAUAUAGAAGGUGUCUCAUCCGUUCACUUAUUAGCUUACUUUCAUCCCUCAAUGCGAGACUAAUCGCAGGAUGCAACCAUGUAGCACAUCUAAGCCAUCCCUCGACAAAAGAAUGUCCGGCAGCCAAGUGGCACCACCAUGUAGGGCCACCUGGUCGUUCCCAGUACGGAGCAGCUAAAUCAGUAACAGGGACAUCCUCUUCAUCAUCAAUUAACUCCAAGUUAGGCCACUCAGCGUUCACUUGAACCAUUUGAACAAGUUCAGAUAUCCUAGUCCAGCCAAUAGGAACCCAAUGACUCCCUUCAUAUCUCUCAUGAAGCACAUGAGCCUCUUUCAAAUCCAAAGAAGGUACCGACCUCGACCUUGAUAUAUCGACGAGAGAAGAAUCAACAAACGGGUUAUGACCAGGGGAAGCAUGUCUGGUUAGUCCAUCUUCAUGCUUCAAGCAACUUUUGUCCGGAUGUUUCGAGUCAACAUGUUUUUUCGGGCCUCGGAUAAACUCAAAGGCGCAAAUAAUCCCAUCAGUCCAAAGAUCACUCUUGGGAACACCUGAAUGGUUUUUGCUGUCAACCUUGUUGGAUUUGCUCUCUUGAGAAACUGAAUGAUUCUCCCCGUUUUCAACCAUGGUCAAAUCAAAUAUAAAACCUACCACAGCUUCUUCUACUGCAUGUAUCAAAAAUCAUCAUUCACAUCAGCAUCUAAGACAUAUAAUUUAAAACUCUCAGUGUAUGAAAUCAAAGCAGCAAAUAUAACAGGAGCGCCAAAUACUGCAAAUCAACAAAUACUAGAAAAUUACAUGCAAGAAACAGAAUCAGUGUACGGAAUAGCAUCAAUUCAGAAACUCUAGGUUUAAGAUCGAAUAUCUUUAUCAUCAUACAAAUCGUAUGUUUCAGUUAAAGUAACCUCUAGUAAGGGUUUUGGUAGAAACCCAGAAUUCAUAAUUAGAAAUAUCAAAGUUCAAAAUUAUAUAUAAACCAAAGAUGAAGAUGAUUGAGAUAAGUUAGAGAGACACAAAUCCAAACUGAUAAAGAUCAUAAAAAGUGAUUUUUCACUGGUAUAUAGAGGAUUUCUAGUUCAAAUGUGAUUCUCUAACUUAAGAAACAUGAAACAUCUCCAAGAAAAAUAAACAACAAAUCUCACCAUAGACGCAGUUGUAUAUCUGUUCUGAAGAUAUCAAAUCCUCAACUCUUACAGAGUUCGCAACCACACUGAUAAAGGAAUACUUUUCAUUUUAUUUUUCUUGACACUUUUUUAUAUAUUUGUUCUUUCUCUUUACACCCUAAUUAGGAAUACUCUACAAGCAAAUAGCGGCUUUAAGAGACGCGCGUCAAAGUUUUCACAUAUUAGCUCCAAAUCUUUUAGAUUCUUACAUAUUUAGCCAUAAACUUAUGAAUUGUUACAUUUAACACCCAUCACUUUCAUAAAACUCUCACCGGAAGUCUCUCUGUUCCGCAACCGCUGCGACACCAAUGAGUCGGCUUUUGCUUCCUAAACUUUUCUUAAUCUCUAAAACACAGGUUAACCAAAUUAUCUCUCUUUCUUCGUUGUAUGUGUGUAUUAUCAGGAUUUGCGUGUGUUAACCUCUCACAUUUGUUUUGUGUGUGAUCACUUUUUAGGUUCCAGCUGCAUCAUUGUUCCAUAAUCUGUACGGACGUCACAGACGGUAAUGAUUCUGAAAUUGGUUUUAAUACUUAACCUGGGUUGGAUAUGUGUUUAUCUUUCAGGUUUUUGUUGUUGUUGUUGUGGUUUGAAUCUGAACAAGUGAAAUCGAAUUCACUGGUUUGUUUAAUACCUACCUAGAGCUUCUUGUGUAGUUUUGAUCAUAUGUAAAUGAACAAGUUCAUUACUUUUGUUGUAUUUGAUGUUAUUCUCCAUUUGAUUGAGUUACAUAGAGGACAAGUUUCUCUGGGAUUUACACAAGUCUUAGCAUGUAAAGAUAAAAUAUUUUUGGCGAUUUUUCUUGCAGCUUUGUUCAUUGGAUGAGUGACAUGUCACAUGAUGGUGUAAGAUCAUCCACAAUUGGUGGUUCUGCUUCUGGAGCUAGAACAUUUUGCUCCCUAGAAGGUAAAACAAUUAGUCAGUCAUUCCAGCUGCUUUACAACUUGAUAUUUGAAUCAAAAUUUGCUUGUGUUUGUAGGGUUUUUGAUGUAUAUGAACCCGAUUGAUUGAGUUCUAUAUCGUAUGUGGCGAACAUAUGUCCUCUUAUAGAGAAAUUAUAUUAGGCAGCCGGAGCUUUUUCUGUAAUGUAAAACCAGCAAAUGAUGAUAACUCAGCUCUGUAUUAGUAGAACAACUUCUAUUGGAGACUCCUUAGAGUCUUCCAUCUCUAUUUUAGAUAAAUCCGUGGUGAAUUAGAGGCAAGAUGAUGACAAGGCAGGAAGAAUAUGUUUCAGAUAAGUGUCAUUCGUCCAUUGUGUAACUCAAUGGAAAGACAAGAGUUACACUAGAUAGACUUUAAGUAUCAGUAUCAUCCUUCACAUAUCGUUUGUCAUAUCAUAGGCCUUAGCUAAAGUAGUUUUCUGGUGUAUUACAGUAAAUUUCAACUUUUUUUUCAUGUUGUUUCUAAAGUUUUGGUGGAGAUUGCUAUAAUUUCCUUGUUACUGCCCUCAUGAACAACUUCUUCACCCAAUUGGUUAAAAUAUGGAUUUGAUAUUUAUUUUCUUCAGCAUAUGUAAUCAAAAACUCCUAAAGUAUGUAACUUUUUCACUAAUAUGGUAUUCUGAUUUUAUAUUUUUGGUUCUUAGAUUUAUUAGCCAAAAAGUGUGUGCCAUGCAAUUCAAAGGAUCUGCGGCCCAUGACUGAACAAAGUGCCCAGGAUCUACUUCAAAAUGUAAUAUGUUAGUAUUUCUUGUUAUGGCUGGUGAGGUCUAUGGUAUGCAUCCCUCCUCAAUUAUUCCUUUUACACAGGUUGCUGGAUGGAAUUUAGCCAAUGAAAAUGAUACAUUAAAGCUGCAUCGGUCAUGGAGAGUGAAAAGUUUUACAAAAGGGCUAGAUUUCUUCAAACGUGUAGCUGAUAUCGCUGAAUCAGAAGGUAAAUAAAUCAUCAGCAAUACAUCACACGUGUUCUGUGACCCUUCUGAAUAAGAUUUUAAAAAGAUAGCUCAAGGAAGACCUGUUACUGUUUUAUCUCACGCAUGGACUGGUAUGAUGCAGGUCAUCACCCAGAUUUGCAUCUGGUCGGCUGGAAUAAUGUGAAAAUCGAGAUAUGGACACAUGCUAUAGGUGAGAAUCAUAGUCUUUGUUGUUGAUAUGAAGAUAUGAAUCAUAUAUUAAUUGCCUGAACCUUAAGAAGCCCCUCAUCCGACAACUAUUUAUUUUGUGAACUUUAUAAGUUGCUAGUGCAGACUAAGUCUUAAGUGAUAUUGGAUUUUCUUGCAACAGGUGGUUUGACGGAAAACGACUUCAUUCUUGCUGCUAAGAUCAACGAGCUCCAAGUGGAAGAUCUUCUGAGGAAGAAGAAAGUUGCCAAAUGAAAUGGAAUUGAAAUGAAUUCUGCAAGCUAAAGAAACAUAGUAAAAGACUACUUCAGAGUUCGACAUAAAUAAGCAUCUUGAGCUCUUUAUUGGGAUGUGUUGGUCUUAAAACUCUGUGAAGUUUACCCGAGCUAUAAAUCUAUGUAGGAUGAGAACAAAAUGAUAGAGAGAUUAAUGUUCCUUCAGCGUAUGUGGUUCUUGUAAACCAAAAUCUCAAACCCAUAAAAUGAGGCAGUGGCUUUAAGUUUGUAACAAGUAUCAUUCAUUCCGGAACAAUUUAUAAUUUUAGAUAUACCAUAAUGUUAUAUAUGUUUUAUUUACAACCACAAAGGCACAAACUAUCCAAACCUCCAUAAACUAUGUACAUUCAAGAAUUGCAUGAAUCUAUAUACAGGAUUGUUGUCAUUCUUCCUAAGAGAUGAAUUCAACAAGUUCAGUCUUCAGACAACGAAGGAAUUGCCGGAGACGGAACAGUUUCACUGCACACCAACAAGAAAUUUUCCAGGUCAAUAUCUUUUCCAUCAUUAAAGUCAGUAUUACAAAUUCCCUUCAACUGUGUUAAAAUCACCUCCCCAUCUUCUGAUACAGAUCACCUAGCGCACGGUAGAGAGCAGCAGCAGCAGGUGGUCUUGGCAAAGAGCCAAGGAGGAUGUCCGACGCAGCUAGGGAUUGGCUCCCAUAGAACCGUGAAUUCUCACUUGUACGUGUCGUGAAGAUGCUUCCUUCAAGCGAGCAUCCAACAAAUGCACCUGUUCAUUUAAAGAAGGAUAUACAGAUUAAUUAUGAGGCUUAGUUUAACAAACGAUUUUUAGUAGAAUUAUUGUAAUGGUUUCAGACCUAUAGUGGCCUAUAAAAUCUCGUUUUAGACAUGGAAGGGAAAAGUCUAAAAUCCAUUAACCAAAAUUAAGCUACUAAAAACUAUUUUGGCUAGAGACACAUGAAUCAGAUGGUUACCUUUGCUGCAGCUGUAGGUAUAGCAAGCAGCAUAUCCACCGCUACCUGCUCGGAUAUCCGCUUCAACUGCUCGUCCAGUCACACCAACUGCAGCGCUUAAACCAGCUCCAACAACUAGAUGGGUGUUACUCCCAAACGUUUGGAUGGCUUCACGAGUUCUCAGAACGAUAAUGAAGUCUAUAAACUCUCCUCCUGCCUACAGGUGAGUGAUGAGAAUAUAGAACAAACACUAUUUGCAAUAUCUACUGAUUACUAAAAGAGCUACGUUACCUGAGCACCCCAUCCCAAACCAAAUGAAGAAAUGGCGGAGGGUGGAGACCAGGAGCCAUCAUCUCUACGAGCAACCACAAGUCCAGUCCCAAUUUUGUAUGUAACCAUAACUCCAACUCUGGCAACAGUGAUUACUGCAAGACCUUUUGCUUGUCUUAAAAUAGCAUCUGGGAUGGACCUCUCAGUUCUUGAAGAACCAACCUGUUGAGAUUAAGAUAGUUUCAAAUUAAAGACACACACACCGCUCUUAGAAUUCCAGGUAUUUCAUGGACAGAGACUAGCCGGGCAUUUACGCAGUGAUAUAAUUGAAAUAUAAGAAUGCUCACAAAUUAAAAUAGUUGAUAGUGAGCUCAGGACCCACAAAUCUCACCUUGGUUAUAUAACCCCGAAUAGUGUUUGUUGCCUUAUAAAUCUCAUACUCCAUGGAUUGUCCCCAUGGAAAAUUCACCCAAGACCUCAAUGUACUAAGAUCUGUCAAAUCAUGGGUUGGCAACUGAGCAGCAGGACUCACUUGGUCCAUCAAAUAAGGCUGCACAGAUUCCAACCUCACAAAACACACAUCACAAACCCUUUGGGGAUCUGAAACACGAAACUUUGCAGGAACCAAGCUUCUUCCUUUAGAACAGUCCCUACAGAAUAUUCCUCCACAAUAUCGACAAUGAUGACGGGAACACAUAAUUGGAUGAAACCUCACACUACAUAGCAUACACGCAGAAGCGGCACUAUCUGGUAGCCACUUGGGUGGCUCAGUUUCCAGAAUUUCUCUUGCGUUACCAAAGUUAGCCUCGGUGAGAGUAUGAGCCAUCUCUUGCCAAGCUUGUUCAAGAAGAUGUCCGGACAAAAAAUUAAUGCCACAUCUCUCAAGAUUGCCAGAACUAAGAGCACUCGCUUUACCACGUGCUGCAAGCAACAUAUCAACUAUCACAUCCCACAUAGUUAACUCCUUGUCUUCAUCAAAUAUCUGGUUCCAUCCCAUAUCUCCUUCGGGGAAGUACCCACCAUUGAAACUAAGGCCUCUUGACCACUCCUCAUGAUCAGGUUCUAACAUGGGCGGGACUGAAACAGGUAUCCAAACCCCGGUUUCUUCAGAAAGCGGCGUGUCAUAGAAAAAAUAUUUACCGCGCUUUUGAUCAUCCGGUUCCAGUGUUUUGCUCUCUUCAACAAAGCCAUCACAUAAGCCAGAAUCAUCUUCUCUAAUAUCCUUUAUGCUUUGAUUAACAACGAUAUUACCAGCAUCAGAAUCACCGUGAGAACCACGAGUUUCUCGAUCUCUUUCAUCCUAUGAUCACCAUUUAACAAACCAUUUUCAAGCUUAAAUUUUAGACCUUUAACUUUAAUCAACAAUCAAAACUGAAACAGAGGUGAGAUGUCUAUAAGCUAACGAUCAUCAUAAAUAUUUACUCAUCCUCUAUUAUCACAAUUUUUUUUUUUGAAUUGAAGUGAUAACCCUAGAAAAUUUGUAUGAUUGCGUACAAAUUAGAAAGAAGUAAAUUGUGAGUAGAAUCAAAAUCGGUAAGCAAUCAAACUCACCAUAUCGUAGACUUGUUCUUCUUCUCGAUUGCGAAGCUAAUCUUCUAUUCUUACAAUUUUGAGUGAUUUUGGAGGAAACUCAGAAACACGACUCUGUUCAGGAAAAGAACGAUUACAACUUUACAAGUUAACACCGUCGCUAACCUUUCUGAGACGCGACCACAUAAUCAACAUAUACAUCUUUACUCAAUUUUACAGUUUAGUCCUCAUAUUUUCUAACUCUUAAUACAUUUGACACCAAACUAUCAUUAAUUAAUAUAUUUACCCCCAUUAUUAUUGUGGCAGGAGAGUAUGUUAAAAAUGUCGGUAAGGCAAGUAGUUAAUGUCUCCUCUAUGGGACAUGAUAAGCUCGCUUGGGUGGGUUCUACCUAUAGACUUUAUUGAGCUUAGUUAAAGACCUAGAGUGAAACAAGAUCAAGGCAUAAAUCUUGAUCAUGGAAAUCAUGUAUUACUUCCUUUGAUUGUUUGAAUUUGGAUAGAGUAAAUUAGGAGAGUACGAGCUGAUCUUGAUUGUGCAUUUAUAAGAUCUUUGUUGGAGAGCAAAGCAAAACAACUUGCAGGUUGAGGUCAAGUUCGGA